rnacentral:rRNA from 1 species
AGUGAACGCUGGCGGUAGGCCUAACACAUGCAAGUCGAACGGCAGCACAGUAAGAGCUUGCUCUUACGGGUGGCGAGUGGCGGACGGGUGAGGAAUACAUCGGAAUCUACUUUUUCGUGGGGGAUAACGUAGGGAAACUUACGCUAAUACCGCAUAAGACCUACGGGUGAAAGCAGGGGAUCUUCGGACCUUGCGCGAUUGAAUGAGCCGAUGUCGGAUUAGCUAGUUGGCGGGGUAAAGGCCCACCAAGGCGACGAUCCGUAGCUGGUCUGAGAGGAUGAUCAGCCACACUGGAACUGAGACACGGUCCAGACUCCUACGGGAGGCAGCAGUGGGGAAUAUUGGACAAUGGGCGCAAGCCUGAUCCAGCCAUACCGCGUGGGUGAAGAAGGCCUUCGGGUUGUAAAGCCCUUUUGUUGGGAAAGAAAAGCAGCAGGUUAAUACCCCGCUGUUCUGACGGUACCCAAAGAAUAAGCACCGGCUAACUUCGUG